GAGUAAGUCUUCGUUAUGUUUGGAUUUUUUUUUUUUUACUGACAUAAGCAUUACACAUAUUGAUAGGUACCAUGUGAUGUUUUAGUGCAUGCAUACAUUGUAUAAUGUUCAAGUCAGGAUAAACGUUCUUCUCAAAUAAUUAAUCUUUGUGGUAGGCAUUUAAAAAUACGAAAUGCUUCAUGAAUAGUAUAGAGACAUGGAGCUUGUCUAUUUUAACAUCUGUAUCUCAGUACCUAAAAGAGGUUGGAUAGGUAGUUUGUACUCACUUAAAUAUGUGUUGAAUGAGGCAGCAUUGGGUAGGUGAAUAGAUUUUGAAUUUAUGGAGUUAAGUUCUUAAGUGUACAGUGUUUCUAUUUAAUAUGAUGAUAAAUAUUCCUUAGUGUCUCGUUUGGUUUUAAAACAUUGACUCUUUGAGAGCUCAAUACCCAUGAGUGACAGACUUUUGGGCCAUAACCUUGAGUUUCCUUUUCCAGUUCAGUGUUCUUAAACUAAUAUUUUUAGGGUUGAUGGAAAAUGGAAACCUCUAAAGUGACAAGUUAUUUAUAUGGUUUCUUGUACCCAGGCUUCUGCCUGAUUUAUGAUGUAAUAGAAAAAGUAGAAAUUGAAAUGAGAAGGUUGAAAAGAAACAGUUUAAAUUGCUAAGGAGGACUUGAAAGACACAGUUUAUCGCUGUCUUUUUGGAAUUUUAUUUUGUAGAUUGUGCAUACAUACAAGAUAUCUUCUAAAAGUAAAAAUAGAAAUUGCAUGGCUGUAUCUGUGCUUUUGAAAUGUAGUUUGCAGCUCAGGUCUUUGGUUCUCAUUUGGCAGGGUGAAACAUUUUGGUAGUGGAAAAUUCCUUUUCUGUGUUGUAUGGGUCUUUGGUGCAGAAUCCAAGUCACCUUAAAGAACUGGAAAGAGACUUAGUAAUGUCCAGGUGCUUCCUUGAGCACUGUGAGAGGAUACUAUAAAAUCCAAGGAAGGACACUUUCCUAUGGGACACUUAUUGAACACUGGGUGCCAGUUCUUUAGCUUUAAUGAAUGGAAUCAUUGAGUAAAAUAAGUAGCUUUCCUUAUUUAUUUUAAAUGGAAUUAUUUACAGAUCCCUAAAACAUAGUUUUAAAAAUAAAUCUCAUAGGAAUCAAAGUACAAAUCAAUUAAUCAUUUUGUUACUGUUUUGUUGUUGUUGUUGUUGUUGUUGUUGUUGUUGUUGUUAGAAGGUGGGUGAUUUAAACAACCACUUCCUGCCACUAUCCUGAGUAGUGACCAAGCAUUACUUUUAUACUGAAGAUUCGUUUUUCUGAGGAAGAGGAUCCCAUGCUAACUGUAACUCACUUAAGAAACAGACAGCAUUUCUGUGCCCCUGUAGCAAGCCAGUGCUCUCAGUACCUGGAGAGGCUAAGACUCCUUUGCCUCAGGGUUUUUCCUGUUCUUGUUUUGUCUCCUAACUUGAGGAUUUCCUUCAUUACCUUAAAUUGAUUUUCUCAAGGAUUCCCUGUGACAUUUCUCCCUGGCUGCACUGGUAUCAGCACUGUUCACCUGAGGCCAUUCUGAAGUCUGACUUGCAUGAGUCCAGACCUAUGAUAGCCAUCAUGAGCAACAUCCAUGCCUGUCUUGCCUCAAUCUCCUCAGAUGAGGCAUGUUUGAGAGGGGAAUGCUGGGCAAGUUGAGAAAAAAAAUAGGGAAGUGGCUCUAAAUUGGGGAUAAAGAGACUCUUAGGGUUUUGCUCCACACAAGGAUCAAGUGCACAGGGGCUAGGAUCAAGAACCCAGAACAAGUGGGCCCUGGGUGGUGAGUGAGCAGCUCUGAGAGAGGAAGGUAACAUAAGGCUAGAGCAGGGUUCUGUCUUUGAAGUCUGAGCAUGGAACAUUGCUUAAUUCUAGCAGAGGCCUGCCUAAAUAAAGCAAUAAGACUGGGACCUUAAUUGCCCAUGUUUGAAGGUAUCUUAAAGUCUUAAGUUUAAAAUUGCUUUUUUAUUGUUUUUUUUUUAAUGUAGGAACUGUUAGAGCCAUGUGUGGUUGUACAUGCCUAUAUUCCAAAGACUUGGAAACUGAAAUAGAUAGCCAGAGCAUGUCUCAAAAAAACAAAGCAAAAGUAGUCAUAUUGGUGUGUAGCCAUUACCCAGGUCUAGCCACAGAACUCUUCUCCAGGUGCAACUCUAAACCCAUAAAUGCCAGCCCUUAUCCUCUCCCCCUAGACUCUGGCCACCUCAAACCCUCCCUUCUCUUUCUUUCUAGAUAUGUGUAGUCUUUUUCAUUUGUACACAUAUAUUUCAAGAUCCCUAAAAGCUAUAGAUGCUUGUGUUUCAAGUACAAAAUGGUGUUGGGUUUGCUUAUAAAAUAGGAACACUUUAUAUAUGUUACUACUUGAUUAUUUAUAACACCUAAUUCUAUAGAACUAUAGGCUAUAGGCUAUACUGCAUUGCUUUAGAAGGAUGGCAAAAAUCAUCUGCAGAUAUUUAAUGUACGUGUAUAGAUUUUUCCCCCAAAUGUUUUUGCUCUGUGGUUACUUGAAUCCAUGGACAUAUGAAAUCUUAAAGGAAACUAAUAGUACCUUCAUUUAUUUUUUUAACAUCUUUCACUUAGUUAUUAAAUAUGCUUAAUAAUAAAAUAUUAGUGAAUUAGUGCUUCCCUUUGUAACAUUUCUCACAUGUUUAAUUGAUUGAUUUCUGCCCCCUCAGAUUGGAGUGUGAACAAUGACAGUUGUUCAAUACCAACAACUGUUUUUUAUAGUGAAGUAUUGUUCCCUAGGUCAUUGUUUUUAGCUUCAAGUGUACUUUAAAAGAGUGUUGAUAAUCAUUUCUGUCUUUAAGCCUUUUUACCAAUUGCCACAAAAUGACCAAUCAGAAAACAAACAAAGUAGCAUAUAUACUGAUUUGUAACUGAGUUUUUAAAAGACUUUACAAAAACAGAAGGUGCUUAAAGAAGAAGAUCCUCUUAUUAGGAUGACAAAAGGUAACAUGUUCAGUUAACAAAGUGCUGUCACCAAUUCUGGUCACACACUUAAUCAGAAAGACCAAAUACGUGCUGUGUGUCUGUAUCUGACUCAAGUCCAGGAAAACGGCAGCAAAAACAUGGUCCAAAAUUAAGUACCAGAAAUUUCUCAGGUAGACAUGCUUUUUAAUUCUUCCUUCCCUGUCAUUAAGUCACAUAGACACACAAGCUUGCCUAUAGCUCUUCAUUUCCCAAGAGAUGUACAGCCAGGGCAAACAAGGAAGGUGGUGAGUGUUCCUGGGGGGCGUGGAGGGGGGCUUACUGUGAAGAUUGGGCCACCACAAUGGAUACAUCACAUGCAUAAUGCAAAUGUCUUUAAGACAAAAUAAUGUAGCGAAGAAAACCCAGAACCACCGUUAAGCUCCAGUUCACGUAGAAAAGACACUAGAUGGUGCUAUGAACCAAGAAGUGUGUUAUUUGCUAAGGUACUAAGGUACGCACGCCCGCAUGCCCGGGCGGGGAGAGCCUCCUCUGCUUGUACCUCUCCCCUCUCCGUACCCUUUCCAGAUCAGCACACCUCACUUGACUUGGGGGAGAUAUUUGCCAGUCAUGGCUUAUGAGCCAAAUAAGAAUUUAUUUAACUAAAUUUAUAUGUAUUUCCAAUAUUUCCAAACAGAACUAGCCUUGAGUUUGUUAAUGACAGUGAAGCAAGAAGAGAUGUGAAUUUUAGAUCAGAUGACCUCAAAUAUUUGGGGCAAAGUCCAUGCCCAGUUGCAACUUGGCUCUUUAUGGAAGGGAGACAGCUACUAAGAGUUUUAUUUGGCAGCCAUGUUUGUUCAGGAAACACAUUCUUACAAAUUCAUUGGAGGUGAAAUUGCCUUUAUGAAGCCAUUUUUCUUUUCUUUCCUAGCAUUCUUUCUGAAGAGGUACCCUUGUGGAACUUGUUUCAUCAGAGCAUAUCAGUCUGUCUCCUUCUUCCACUUCUGUUCACUGGAAGAAAGCCUUUUCCAAAUGGUUUAUGAUAGCUCUGCUCAGGUUCACGGGAGUACAAAACAGUUUAGCAGUUAGCCACACGGGUAGAAAAGACACACAAGGUCCUCACUGAGAAAAAUAUAAGCUUGUAGAACAUUUACAAGAACUGAAAGUGAGGCUGGUAAGAUAGGUCAGCGGGGAAAGACACCUCCAAGCUUGACAACCUGAGUUUAAUCCCAGACCCACAUUGUAAUUAGAAGGAGAAAAUCAACCUAGACGUUGUCCUCUAUCCAGCACCCAACUGCUGUGAUUCAUGCCUUGCCAUAAGUAAAUAUUAUAAUUUUCUAAAAAAAAAUCUAAUAUAAUUUUAUUAUAUCUAACUCCAGUACUUAAAAAAUAAAAUUAGUGUAGACCCUUAAGAAUCAGCUGUUUAAACAUAAUUUAGAAGAUUUCAUUUUUAGUCUACAUUUGAAUUUUAGGAACUUCAAGUAAAGUCUUAUCAGUAAUUGU
rnacentral:lncRNA from 1 species